rnacentral:rRNA from 1 species
CGCGGCCUAUCAGCUUGUUGGUGGGGUGAUGGCCUACCAAGGCUUUGACGGGUAGCCGGCCUGAGAGGGUGACCGGCCACACUAGGACUGAGAUACGGCCCAGACUCCUACGGGAGGCAGCAGUGGGGAAUUUUGCGCAAUGGGCGGAAGCCUGACGCAGCGACGCCGCGUGGGGGAUGACGGCCUUCGGGUUGUAAACCUCUUUCUACUCUGACGAAGCUCCUGCUCGUGAGUGGGGGUGACGGUAGGGGUGGAAGAAGCGCCGGCUAACUACGUGCCAGCAGCCGCGGUGAGACGUAGGGCGCGAGCGUUGUCCGGAUUUAUUGGGCGUAAAGAGCUCGUAGGCGGCUUGUCGCGUCGGCCGUGUAAGUCUGCAGCUUAACUGUGGGUGUGCGGUCGAUACGGGCAGGCUAGAGUUCGGCAGGGGAGACUGGAAUUCCUGGUGUAGCGGUGGAAUGCGCAGAUAUCAGGAGGAACACCGGUGGCGAAGGCGGGUCUCUGGGCCGACACUGACGCUGAGGAGCGAAAGCGUGGGGAGCGAACAGGAUUAGAUACCCUGGUAGUCCACGCUGUAAACGUUGGGCGCUAGGUGUGGGGACCCUUCCCGGGUUUCCGUGCCGUAGCUAACGCAUUAAGCGCCCCGCCUGGGGAGUACGG